CUGUUCUGUAGUGGAGUCGUUAGAGCGAGUGUCCAUUUCACCAUCCUACUGACACACAGCAGAGCUUCAGAAAAAGAGAACGGCUUCACUUCAGCUUUAACUGGAUCCAGACUGGACAGGACGUCCUGAUUGUCUGGGACAGGACUGACUGCAUAAAUCUGCAGGUCUGAGGCAGCAGCAGUUAAGGGAAUGCAUGGAUUCAGUGGACAUAAAAUGCAACCUUUGCAGAGAAGUUCAUAAAAACAGAGCCAGCAAAUCUAGCAACCCUAAAAAAGCCUGAACACAGAAGCACUUUCCUGAAGAGCUGUAUGAAAGUACGCAGUAGACAAAAACAGUGUUUGUCCUCCACAAUCCCCUGACCUAAACCUGAUCAACUGAGAUGGUGAUUUGGUGAUCUAGGAUGAGCUGGAGCUUCACAGUGUGAAGGAAAAGCAGCAGCUAUUGUUCAGCACCUCCAGGAACUCCUUCAAGAUGCUGAGAAAACUAUUCCAGGUGACUCUACCUCAAGAGUGUGCAGAUCUGUCAUCAAAGCUGUCAAAGCUGUGCCAAGCUAGAAGGACCUAAAUCUAAAGUAUAAACCAUGUUUGUUUGUUUUCACUAUUUUUUUUUUUUACAAAAUAAUUUUGCAUGUUUUCCUGUAUAGCUUAAAUAUAGACUUCAAUAUUAAAUUUACAAUAUAUAGAUUUUAAAAACAAAGAAAGAAACACACUGAAUGAGAAGAGGGGUGUCCAAUCUCUAUGGUACUCUAUGCUCUCAAACCGUCAUGUUGGGUUAGAAAUAUAAAAAUUACAUGAAUAUAAACUCAAAUAGGAGCACCAAACUUUACACAGUUUUCAGUAUUUACCCGUAAGAAGAAGGGGAACUUUUUGCCGUAGAAGCCGAUCCUGAAGAACUCUGGCUCGAGCCUCUGCUGGUUCAUUAUCUUAUCGUAGAGAGAUGCCUCCAUCAGCUAGAGAGCACAGAAAUAAAACGCCUCAUUAACCUUAAUGCAAGAGUACGGAAAGAGCUCUAAGGAUGACAAAUCACUGCCACCGUCUGUGGAGAGCCUUAGCGAUGUACAAGAUUUAGCCUAAACAUCAUAAUCCAACUGAUUCAAAUGUAAAUGAAAGAAAACUCCAUGACUCAUUAGAUCAGUGCUUUACCCUGAAAGCCUGGAUUUUAAUUCAGACAGCUCAAUGCUGCAUUAUACAAAAGCUGAAAUGCCAGUGUUACCUGCAGCUUAUCAUACGCAAGAUUGAUUACAAUAUUUCACAUAAGCAGCCUGCAAAAUUCUGCUACAUAAUAUGUAUAGAUUACAAUUCAAAGACACUUUUAAGCUUAAGUAAUACACUGUAAGUGAUAAGUGAUACACUGUAGACUAUAAUCACAGUGAUGAUAAACGUACAGAAUGAGUAGUAUAAUAUAUUUGGUUAGUUUGAGGGUGUCAGAGUGUGACAGUGACAGCUAACUAGAUAACCCUAGUUAACCUAGCUAUAGCUAUGUGGUAUCCCCAAAUAUGCUCCAAAAUAGCUGUAAACCACGUUUAAUAGCCUGCUGAACUGUUAGGUUUCUAUAUCUAGCUACUUUAUGAUCAGUGUCCACAACUGUAGCUACUUCAGACUGCAAUUAUUUUAAAAAUAAUAUGACAAUAAUUGUUGACGUUCAUCUAAUAUGAACGGACUGGAUAUUCUAACACAAAUACAGGCGAAACUAACUCUUUAAAAGUGGGUGUGGCAGAAUAAGGUGGAUAGUAGUAAAACUUUGAGUGUAAGGAACCUUUAAACUGUUAAAAAAAAAACUAGAAAAAAAGUUAUAUUUUUUUUCUAACACACAUGGUGGCUCUUCUAGAGCAUCUCUCUUAAAAAAAGGAGAAAAAAAAAACAACAACAUUUGUAAUACCUUUAUUAAUAAGACUGCAGGUGCUAAAAUAAAAUCAAAGGAUCACAUGUUGACCUUUCCAGCCUAAAUGCAUAAAAUAUGUGCAUAAAUAUAAAUAUGAUUAGUACAAAGAGGCUGCCUCAAAUUUAUUUUUGACUACAAAUUAGAAUAAUAAUUAAGAAUUCAUCCACAUUUAACUUGGUCAUUAUUAAGAAAUCAUGUUGCUACGGCAACAUUAAAAGAUGACCAAUCCAAAAACAUACUCCAGUUGAACAUGUUUAACUCUGUAAAAUAUCCAUUAUUUUGUGCCCUGCUCUCAUUUAUGCCUGAGCAGAAUGUGAACUUAAUCUUAUUAGAGGAUUGUUUGGAGGACCAAUUCCUAAUGUGAAUAUUUAGAGGACGGAAAAACAGAGAGAGAGAGAGAGAGAGAGAGGAAACAUGAGAAAAGCGAGUACGAGAAGGUUGGCAUAAAGUCUAUAAACGGGCGUCGGUGCCCCUCUGACUACUGCAAUAAUCCUAUUAAAGCUUCAAAGAAAACUGCAAAAUGGAACACUUUCAUAUAAUAUAUUCCCAACAACACACUCACAAAAAUCCAUCAGGCCAAAUCUGUGGCAGCCCGUUCCAGGAAAAGCGUAGAAUACUCACUCUCAUUUUACUAAGGUUCCUGUAGUCGUAGUAAGCCUCGUACUGAUUAGCCAGCUCUCGACAGAGUAUGAUGCAGUUCUCCCAGCACUGCAAUUUAGAAAAGACUUUUCAGCUGCUGUAAUGGAUCAAACAGCAAGCAAGAAGAAACACAACAGUACAGUGAAGCCUGACUCAUCUCACCAUGAAAUCCCAGAUUUGUCCGUUUCCAACAAACAUUUUCAGUAAUCAUACUAGUGAAUAUUUAAUGUUUUGGAUCAGUUUUCUUAGCAUGAAUGUUAUGUAACAUAAAUCUUAAUUUCUGCUGGUUUCCUCUUCUUUACGUGAUAUAAAGGUAUUUACGUAUAUUUAUUUACUUUUUUU